CCUACGGGUGGCAGCAGUGAGGAAUAUUGGUCAAUGGGCGCGAGCCUGAACCAGCCAAGUCGCGUGAGGGAAGACGGUCCUAUGGAUUGUAAACCUCUUUUGUCGGGGAGCAAAAGGCGCCACGCGUGGCGUUCCGAGAGUACCCGAAGAAAAAGCAUCGGCUAACUCCGUGCCAGCAGCCGCGGUAAUACGGAGGAUGCGAGCGUUAUCCGGAUUUAUUGGGUUUAAGGGGUGCGCAGGCGGAAGAUCAAGGCAGCGGUAAAAGUGAGGGGCUAAACCGCUUCGAGCCGUUGAAACUGGUGUGCUUGAGUGAGCGGAAAGUAUGCGGAAUGCGUGGUGUAGCGGUGAAAUGCAUAGAUAUGACGCAGAACUCCGAUUGCGAAGGCAGCAUGCCGGAGCGCAACUGACGCUCAUGCACGAAAGUGUGGGUAUCGAACAGGAUUAGAUACCCUUGUAGUC
rnacentral:rRNA from 1 species